rnacentral:rRNA from 1 species
CCUACGGGAUGCAGCAGUGAGGAAUAUUGGUCAAUGGACGAGAGUCUGAACCAGCCAAGUAGCGUGAAGGAUGACUGCCCUAUGGGUUGUAAACUUCUUUUAUAUGGGAAUAAAAUGUUCCACGUGUGGGAUUUUGUAUGUACCAUAUGAAUAAGGAUCGGCUAACUCCGUGCCAGAAGCCGCGGUAAUACGGAGGAUCCGAGCGUUAUCCGGAUUUAUUGGGUUUAAAGGGAGCGUAGGUGGAUUGUUAAGUCAGUUGUGAAAGUUUGCGGCCCAACCGUAAAAUUGCAGUUGAAACUGGCGGUCUUGAGUACAGUAGAGGUGGGCGGAAUUCGGGGUGUGGCGGUGAAAUGCUUAGAUAUCACGAAGAACUCCGAUUGCGAAGGCAGCUCACUGAACUGCAACUGACACUGGGGCUCGAGAGUGUGGGUAUCAAACAGGAUUAGAUACCCGGGUGUC